GACGAACGCUGCCGGCGCGCUAAACACACGCAAGUCGAACGAAGGGGCGAAUGGGUGAGUAAUACGUGGGUAACCUGCCUCCUUUUUUGGGAUAAGCCUUGGAAACGGGGUCUAAUACUGAAUAAAGGGGGUUGGGCUCGCGGCCUAUAAGAUAGUUGGUGGGGGGAUGGCCGACCAAGGCGAUGACGGGUAGCCGGCCUGAGAGGGUGACAGGCCACAUUGGGACGGGGAUACGGCCCAGACUCCUACGGGAGGCAGCAGUAGGGGAUAGUGCACAAUGGGCGAAAGCCUGAUGCAGCGGCGCCGCGUGGGGGAUGAAGGCGUGCGGGUUGUAAACCUCUGUCGCGAUCGAACGGGUAGGUGGAGGAGAAGCGCCGGGUAGCUGCAUGCCAACAACCGCGGUAGUAC
rnacentral:rRNA from 1 species